GGAAGGCGGCGCGGGUGUCGGCGUCGGCCUCGCCGCAUCCCUCCUGGUAGCGCAGGCAGGCGUCCACGACGCGGCGGGCGGCCCGCAGCUCUUGCACUUAUUGCACCGUCUGUCUUCAUUUCACUGCUCUGUACUGCUCUGAUGGGAUGCAUAGAGCUCUGCUAAACUGUGCUAAAGAUCCAUCUGUGGAAUUUUAUGCUAUUUUGCUUGUUAAGCAUCCAAGAGGGAGGUAACAGAAAUAUUAAAGGUUUCCACCAUGCUGUUUGGAAAGCCAGCCUUUUUCAUGCCACAGCAUUGUGUUCAUCAUUUGUGCAAAGAGGAAGCUCAACAG